rnacentral:rRNA from 1 species
AUUGAACGCUGGCGGUAUGCUUAACACAUGCAAGUCGAACGAGUGGCGGACGGGUGAGUAAUGUAUGGGGAUCUGCCCGAUAGAGGGGGAUAACUACUGGAAACGGUGGCUAAUACCGCAUACUAUCGGAUGAACCCAUAUGGGAUUAGCUAGUAGGUGGGGUAAAGGCUCACCUAGGCGACGAUCUCUAGCUGGUCUGAGAGGAUGAUCAGCCACACUGGGACUGAGACACGGCCCAGACGCCUACGGGAGGCAGCAGUGGGGAAUAUUGCACAAUGGGCGCAAGCCUGAUGCAGCCAUGCCGCGUGUAUGAAGAAGGCCUUCGGGUUGUAAAGUACUUUCAGUCGGGAGGCGUUACCGACAGAAGAAGCACCGGCUAACUCCGUGCCAGCAGCCGCGGUAAUUC